rnacentral:rRNA from 1 species
GAUGAACGCUAGCGAUAGGCUUAACACAUGCAAGUCGAGGGGCAGCAUGGUCUUAGCUUGCUAAGACUGAUGGCGACCGGCGCACGGGUGCGUAACGCGUAUGCAACUUGCCUCACAGAGGGGGAUAACCCGUCGAAAGACGGACUAAUACCGCGUACACUUGGGAUAGGGCAUCCUGACCCAAGGAAAUGAAAUUCGCUGUGAGAUAGGCAUGCGUCCCAUUAGCUAGUUGGUGAGGUAACGGCUCACCAAGGCGACGAUGGGUAGGGGAACUGAGAGGUUGAACCCCCACACUGGUACUGAGACACGGACCAGACUCCUACGGGAGGCAGCAGUGAGGAAUAUUGGUCAAUGGGCGAGAGCCUGAACCAGCCAAGUCGCGUGAAGGAUGACUGUCUUAGGGAUUGUAAACUUCUUUUAUACGGGAAUAACAAGAGCCACGUGUGGCUCCCUGCAUGUACCGUAUGAAUAAGCAUCGGCUAACUCCGUG